GGCCGCUGGGUCGGCGCCGAUGGGCGGAGGCUGAGGUGGAGGCGGAAGGAGGCGGUGGCGCCCUUCCUGCCGACAGCGUCGGUGUUGCAGUGGGAGCGGGUGGCUUAGUAGCCGUCUACGCCAACCACAUGCAGCGGGGGAAGGAGCGGGACACCGAGCACCGGGCCGUCUGCAACCUGGCCCCUGGGUGAAGUGCUCCGCCGCCCUUGCCUCCAGAAUCCUUGUUGAGUCCAGCGCCUCCUUCCUGUCCAGGAUCACCUUCUGGUGGAUCACAGGGUUGAUAUCCCAGGCUACCACCAGCCCCUGGAGAGCAGUGGCCCCUGCUCCUUAAACAAGGAGGACACGCAGGAACAAGUCAUGCCUGUUUCAGCAAAGAACUGGAAGAAGAAAUGCGCCCAGUCUAGGAACAAGUCAUCAACAAAGAAGGAUUCUGUGACCAAACAUGUGGAGAGGGUUUUUCCCACCAACAGGCAAGCAGUCACUUCUGCAGAUGAAACAAACUGGGUGUCGUCUAAUUCAGUUCUCACUUUCUGUCUGCAGACAGCAUCAGAUUCCACAGGUAAAGGUCUCAGUCCUGUGAGACUGCCUCACUACAUCAGUCCUAAGUCUGAGACUCCAGAACUCUGACCAAUCAACUUCAAAUUGGGGUUCCCAGGACUCCCUCUUUGGGUUAAAUUGAAUUUGCUGGAAUGGCUCAAAAUACUCAUGAAACACACUUAGCAGCAUACUAUGAAUGACCGUACAAAAGGUACAUUUUAAGAGAUGUAUAGUGCAAAGUAUGGGGCUUAGUGGCACAGAGAUUCCAUGCCCUCUCAGGACACACCACCCUCCAGGAACCUCC